rnacentral:lncRNA from 1 species
AGGUCAUCACACAAUCCCCAAAAUCACUCAACCCUAAUUAUGAGGAUUUCACUAAUCACUAUCUAAUUAUUUUGGAAUUAUUAUUUAAGUACUAAAUAAGGAUUUAUUAAUAUUUUAAUCAAACAUUAUCCAAAUGCCACCAAAUUUUGUGUGGAGCCAGGGAAUAAUAGUCAGAGGCUCCCCACAAUUUUUGGUGAUUUUUGGACAUACAAAUAAAUUAUUAAAAUUCCUAGAAGUUUUAUUCACUAAUUAAAAGAGCAAAUUUUUACAGACAUGUAAACUACCAGAAAAUAGAAUCCACUAUUUUUCUUGUGUUCUACCCACUUUAUGGAACCUAUACAAAAACUUUCAUCAUUUUUGGAUUAGCACACAAUUUAUCACAUAAUUUCAAACAUCAAACAAAAAUUGCAUAAAAAGAAAAAAGAAAAAGAUCUUUGCGCAGUGGGCGGCCUGGAUCUUGGCCCGCAGGCCAGCCCAUGCGCGCUCGGCCCGCGCACGCACUGCGCGCGCUGCCCCUCCCCUCAUGUGGAC